rnacentral:ncRNA from 1 species
AGGAGCCGGAUGAGAAGAAAAUUUCAUGUCCAGUUCUGGAUUAGAGAUGGGAUCAAAAUACUAUUAACAAUCGACUAUAAC